rnacentral:tRNA from 2 species
GGGCUCGUAGCUCAGCCUGGUUGGAGCGCCGGUCUUAUAAGCCGGAAGUCGAGGGUUCAAACCCCUUCGAGCCCA